AACAUCGGUUCCCUUACGAUCAAUGAAGUUAAGCAACGUCGAGCCUGGUCAGUAACUAGAUUAGUGACCGCCUGGGAAUACCAGGUGCUGUAAG